CGCGGGGUGGAGCAGCCCGGUAGCUCGCGAGGCUCAUAACCUCGAGGUCGCAGGUUCGAAUCCUGUCCCCGCAACUA
rnacentral:tRNA from 1 species